rnacentral:rRNA from 1 species
ACACAUGCAAGUCGAACGGUAACAGGAAGAAGCUUGCUUCUUUGCUGACGAGUGGCGGACGGGUGAGUAAUGUCUGGGAAACUGCCUGAUGGAGGGGGAUAACUACUGGAAACGGUAGCUAAUACCGCAUAACGUCGCAAGACCAAAGAGGGGGACCUUCGGGCCUCUUGCCAUCGGAUGUGCCCAGAUGGGAUUAGCUAGUAGGUGGGGUAACGGCUCACCUAGGCGACGAUCCCUAGCUGGUCUGAGAGGAUGACCAGCCACACUGGAACUGAGACACGGUCCAGACUCCUACGGGAGGCAGCAGUGGGGAAUAUUGCACAAUGGGCGCAAGCCUGAUGCAGCCAUGCCGCGUGUAUGAAGAAGGCCUUCGGGUUGUAAAGUACUUUCAGCGGGGAGGAAGGGAGUAAAGUUAAUACCUUUGCUCAUUGACGUUACCCGCAGAAGAAGCACCGGCUAACUCCGUGCCAGCAGCCGCGGUAAUACGGAGGGUGCAAGCGUUAAUCGGAAUUACUGGGCGUAAAGCGCACGCAGGCGGUUUGUUAAGUCAGAUGUGAAAUCCCCGGGCUCAACCUGGGAACUGCAUCUGAUACUGGCAAGCUUGAGUCUCGUAGAGGGGGGUAGAAUUCCAGGUGUAGCGGUGAAAUGCGUAGAGAUCUGGAGGAAUACCGGUGGCGAAGGCGGCCCCCUGGACGAAGACUGACGCUC